rnacentral:rRNA from 1 species
GAAAGAUGAAAAGAACUUUGAAAAGAGAGUUAAAUAGUACGUGAAAUUGUUGGAAAGGAAACGAUUAAAGUCAGUCAUACCAACGGGAAAUCAACCUUUUUGAGUUUGGUCUUGUGGGUUUGAAGAGUUUCAAAGCCUUCCGAUUUGUGGGAUUGGGAUCUCUUGGUGCACUUUUUCGUACGGUUAGUCAACAUCGGUUUUGAAUGUCAUAAAAUGACUGGAGGAAUGUAGCUUCGAUCUCGUAUUGAAGUGUUAUA